UACGAAGGGGACUAGCGUUGUCCGGAUUUAUUGGGCGUAAAGAGCGUGUAGGCGGCCAUGUAGGUCCGGUGUGAAAACUCGAGGCUUAACCUCGAGAUGUCAUCGGAAACCAUUUGGCUAGAGUCCGGAAGAGGAGAGUGGAAUUCCUGGUGUAGCGGUGAAAUGCGCAGAUAUCAGGAAGAACACCAAUGGCGAAAGCAGCUCUCUGGGACGGUACUGACGCUGAGACGCGAAAGCGUGGGGAGCGAACAGG
rnacentral:rRNA from 1 species